rnacentral:rRNA from 1 species
UACAGAGGGUGCAAGCGUUGUUCGGAAUUAUUGGGCGUAAAGGGCGCGUAGGCGGUGCGGUAAGUCUGUAGUGAAAUCUCUGGGCUCAACCUCGAGACGCCGGUGGAAACCAUCAGACUAGAGUCCGGAAGAGGAGAGUGGAAUUCCUGGUGUAGCGGUGAAAUGCGCAGAUAUCAGGAAGAACACCCGUGGCUAAGGCGGCUCUCUAGUACGGUACUGACGCUGAGACGCGAAAGCGUGGGGAGCGAACAGG